rnacentral:lncRNA from 13 species
AACUUCAAUGGAAAGGAUGAAAAAAAUCAAGUCAUUUGGGCUUUAUUGACAUGAUUGCUGACCGAGGGGUAUAAAUACCAGACAAGUUAAACAGUCAGCUGUGUUUCAACUAAAAACAGAGGACCAGGUCUAAAUCAGAUAUUCAUCAAUGCUCCUCCUGGUUUCUGGAAUAUAUUGUAGGUUGCUGCCUGCAUCUAGUCUUCAUUCUUUGAAUCUAUACACCAUUUUCCACAAGAAAUAACAUGUAGACAGGCCCUACUUGAGGGAAUUAAAUUCCCAAUGGACUAAAAAGUGUUCAUACAGGCAGCUGAAGAUUUGUCUAUAGAGAAAUACCAACAUCACGUCACACGUAUGGAAAAAUUGGAAAUGAUAUCUCGGAAUAUCUGUUUACUUACCUGUCAUUUGUGAUCUAUAAAAAUGUUUUGUCCCAGUUUAUUUCACACAUGCAUGAAGCACAGGUGAGGGGGAUCUGCUGGGGGCAUAUUUACAUUUGACAGCUACCACACCCUUUGAAACAGUCUGUAAGCAGUUUAUAAAUGGCUCUGUUCCCUUCGGUUAUUCCCUGAACUCUGGUUUUGACACAGGUAAUGACAGCUGGUUUAGCAGUGGUGCCUGGCAGGUGGGCACACCUGUUCAGAAAAUGCCUGCAUGUACAGGUGUUCGUGGGGNNNGGGCAGAGGGCAAGGGCAUACAGAAGAUGGGCUGGCUCUCAGGCAUCUGAGGAAAACCCUUCCCCUCUUCCAAAAACAGUGGAAAAUUAAAUGUUCACAGGGUAGGGGGCCACAGUAUUCUUAAACAAGUCAGACACGUCCCCUCACAUGAACAAAUAAACACAGUGCCAAGAUCUGCAAAGGAAGAUUUAGCAGGUUAUUUCAAUCCUGUUGAAUCCAUAAAGCCAACUCAGGCAAGGGUUUACCACAGAAGUGGUCUUCACGAAACUUGACAAGAUAUGCUGAUCUAUUAUGUCUAUUAAAGAGUUCAUUGCAAAUGCCUUUCAAAUCUCUCAAACCAUUCAGUCAGUUACUCUUUCAUUCACAUUUAACAUCUGUGAACUCUUAAAUUUGUCCUUUAAAACAUGGUGUUUCAGUCGCAGGGGAAAUUAUAUCGGUGCGUUAGAUUCUUGAGCUGAC